rnacentral:rRNA from 1 species
CGGACGNGGGUGAGUAACACGUGGGUAACCUACCUAUAAGACUGGGAUAACUUCGGGAAACCGGAGCUAAUACCGGAUAAUAUUUCGAACCGCAUGGUUCGAUAGUGAAAGGUGGUUUUGCUAUCACUUAUAGAUGGACCCGCGCCGUAUUAGCUAGUUGGUAAGGUAACGGCUUACCAAGGCGACGAUACGUAGCCGACCUGAGAGGGUGAUCGGCCACACUGGAACUGAGACACGGUCCAGACUCCUACGGGAGGCAGCAGAU